UUAAGCGACUAAGCGUACACGGUGGAUGCCCUGGCAGUCAGAGGCGAUGAAGGACGUGCUAAUCUGCGAUAAGCGUCGGUGAGGUGAUAUGAACCGUUAUAACCGGCGAUUUCCGAAUGGGGAAACCCAGUGUGUUUCGACACACUAUCAUUAACUGAAUCCAUAGGUUAAUGAGGCGAACCGGGGGAACUGAAACAUCUAAGUACCCCGAGGAAAAGAAAUCAACCGAGAUUCCCCCAGUAGCGGCGAGCGAACGGGGAGGAGCCCAGAGCCUGAAUCAGUGUGUGUGUUAGUGGAAGCGUCUGGAAAGGCGCGCGAUACAGGGUGACAGCCCCGUACACAAAAAUGCACAUGCUGUGAGCUCGAUGAGUAGGGCGGGACACGUGGUAUCCUGUCUGAAUAUGGGGGGACCAUCCUCCAAGGCUAAAUACUCCUGACUGACCGAUAGUGAACCAGUACCGUGAGGGAAAGGCGAAAAGAACCCCGGCGAGGGGAGUGAAAAAGAACCUGAAACCGUGUACGUACAAGCAGUGGGAGCCUCUUAAUGGGGUGACUGCGUACCUUUUGUAUAAUGGGUCAGCGACUUAUAUUCUGUAGCAAGGUUAACCGAAUAGGGGAGCCGAAGGGAAACCGAGUCUUAACUGGGCGUUAAGUUGCAGGGUAUAGACCCGAAACCCGGUGAUCUAGCCAUGGGCAGGUUGAAGGUUGGGUAACACUAACUGGAGGACCGAACCGACUAAUGUUGAAAAAUUAGCGGAUGACUUGUGGCUGGGGGUGAAAGGCCAAUCAAACCGGGAGAUAGCUGGUUCUCCCCGAAAGCUAUUUAGGUAGCGCCUCGUGAAUUCAUCUCCGGGGGUAGAGCACUGUUUCGGCAAGGGGGUCAUCCCGACUUACCAACCCGAUGCAAACUGCGAAUACCGGAGAAUGUUAUCACGGGAGACACACGGCGGGUGCUAACGUCCGUCGUGAAGAGGGAAACAACCCAGACCGCCAGCUAAGGUCCCAAAGUCAUGGUUAAGUGGGAAACGAUGUGGGAAGGCCCAGACAGCCAGGAUGUUGGCUUAGAAGCAGCCAUCAUUUAAAGAAAGCGUAAUAGCUCACUGGUCGAGUCGGCCUGCGCGGAAGAUGUAACGGGGCUAAACCAUGCACCGAAGCUGCGGCAGCGACACUAUGUGUUGUUGGGUAGGGGAGCGUUCUGUAAGCCUGUGAAGGUGGCCUGUGAGGGUUGCUGGAGGUAUCAGAAGUGCGAAUGCUGACAUAAGUAACGAUAAAGCGGGUGAAAAGCCCGCUCGCCGGAAGACCAAGGGUUCCUGUCCAACGUUAAUCGGGGCAGGGUGAGUCGACCCCUAAGGCGAGGCCGAAAGGCGUAGUCGAUGGGAAACAGGUUAAUAUUCCUGUACUUGGUGUUACUGCGAAGGGGGGACGGAGAAGGCUAUGUUGGCCGGGCGACGGUUGUCCCGGUUUAAGCGUGUAGGCUGGUUUUCCAGGCAAAUCCGGAAAACCAAGGCUGAGGCGUGAUGACGAGGCACUACGGUGCUGAAGCGACAAAUGCCCUGCUUCCAGGAAAAGCCUCUAAGCAUCAGGUAACAUCAAAUCGUACCCCAAACCGACACAGGUGGUCAGGUAGAGAAUACCAAGGCGCUUGAGAGAACUCGGGUGAAGGAACUAGGCAAAAUGGUGCCGUAACUUCGGGAGAAGGCACGCUGAUAUGUAGGUGAAGCGACUUGCUCGUGGAGCUGAAAUCAGUCGAAGAUACCAGCUGGCUGCAACUGUUUAUUAAAAACACAGCACUGUGCAAACACGAAAGUGGACGUAUACGGUGUGACGCCUGCCCGGUGCCGGAAGGUUAAUUGAUGGGGUUAGCGGCAACGCGAAGCUCUUGAUCGAAGCCCCGGUAAACGGCGGCCGUAACUAUAACGGUCCUAAGGUAGCGAAAUUCCUUGUCGGGUAAGUUCCGACCUGCACGAAUGGCGUAAUGAUGGCCAGGCUGUCUCCACCCGAGACUCAGUGAAAUUGAACUCGCUGUGAAGAUGCAGUGUACCCGCGGCAAGACGGAAAGACCCCGUGAACCUUUACUAUAGCUUGACACUGAACAUUGAGCCUUGAUGUGUAGGAUAGGUGGGAGGCUUUGAAGUGUGGACGCCAGUCUGCAUGGAGCCGACCUUGAAAUACCACCCUUUAAUGUUUGAUGUUCUAACGUUGGCCCGUAAUCCGGGUUGCGGACAGUGUCUGGUGGGUAGUUUGACUGGGGCGGUCUCCUCCUAAAGAGUAACGGAGGAGCACGAAGGUUGGCUAAUCCUGGUCGGACAUCAGGAGGUUAGUGCAAUGGCAUAAGCCAGCUUGACUGCGAGCGUGACGGCGCGAGCAGGUGCGAAAGCAGGUCAUAGUGAUCCGGUGGUUCUGAAUGGAAGGGCCAUCGCUCAACGGAUAAAAGGUACUCCGGGGAUAACAGGCUGAUACCGCCCAAGAGUUCAUAUCGACGGCGGUGUUUGGCACCUCGAUGUCGGCUCAUCACAUCCUGGGGCUGAAGUAGGUCCCAAGGGUAUGGCUGUUCGCCAUUUAAAGUGGUACGCGAGCUGGGUUUAGAACGUCGUGAGACAGUUCGGUCCCUAUCUGCCGUGGGCGCUGGAGAACUGAGGGGGGCUGCUCCUAGUACGAGAGGACCGGAGUGGACGCAUCACUGGUGUUCGGGUUGUCAUGCCAAUGGCACUGCCCGGUAGCUAAAUGCGGAAGAGAUAAGUGCUGAAAGCAUCUAAGCACGAAACUUGCCCCGAGAUGAGUUCUCCCUGAGACUUAGAGUCUCCUGAAGGAACGUUGAAGACGACGACGUUGAUAGGCCGGGUGUGUAAGCGCAGCGAUGCGUUGAGCUAACCGGUACUAAUGAACCGUGAGGCUUAACCUU
rnacentral:rRNA from 1 species